CGUACACUCCUACGGGAGGCAGCAGUGGGGAAUAUUGGACAAUGGGCGCAAGCCUGAUCCAGCCAUGCCGCGUGAGUGAUGAAGGCCCUAGGGUUGUAAAGCUCUUUCACCGGUGAAGAUAAUGACGGUAACCGGAGAAGAAGCCCCGGCUAACUUCGUGCCAGCAGCCGCGGUAAUACGAAGGGGGCUAGCGUUGUUCGGAUUUACUGGGCGUAAAGCGCACGUAGGCGGACUAUUAAGUCAGGGGUGAAAUCCCGGGGCUCAACCCCGGAACUGCCUUUGAUACUGGUAGUCUUGAGUUCGAGAGAGGUGAGUGGAAUUCCGAGUGUAGAGGUGAAAUUCGUAGAUAUUCGGAGGAACACCAGUGGCGAAGGCGGCUCACUGGCUCGAUACUGACGCUGAGGUGCGAAAGCGUGGGGAGCAAACAGGAUUAGAUACCCCAGUAGUCCCAUGA
rnacentral:rRNA from 1 species